UUAAUUUUCUGAGACGAAUUUUACUGCACUGCUAGCUAACUUUGCAACAAUUUGCACAGCCGCAGGUCCUCAUCUUCCCUCCACCAUGUGUUCGACGAGAUGCACGCCCGCCCGCCCUCAUCUACUGUUAAGAUGAGAAACACCUGUUCAUGUCUGUUACCUGUUCGGCGGAAUGCCUGUGAGAGAUGUGUUUAUCAAGCAAGUUUCCUUUAGUUCUUGCAAAAAUUAAAAUGAAGUUGAUUUUAUUUACACUUUUCAUUUUCGAUUUGAUUUACCUUCGCGCAAGCAGCUCCCAGAUGAGGAAGAGUACUAAGCUUUAUCAGAUUAGUAUCAUCUUCUUUGUGCAAGCAAAAGAAGUUUUCUAGAGAUUUCAAUUCUGACCAUACCAUAUACUUUCAUUGCAGUUUAUUAAUUUUUACCCCUCUGAUGUUAUCAGUUCAUUCUUGACUGUUUCUACAUUGAAAGGGGCAUGUAAAAUCUGAAUGCAGUACUGUUUUUCGCCCAAAAUAUCAGGAUUCGGUGCAGUUUUGGCUAGAAUAGAAGUGCCAGACAUCUACAAUUUUGAAAGAUGAUAUAUGCAGUUGUUUUCUCAUCAGGAUUCGGUGCAGUUUCGGUGGGAGAAGGGAGCAGUGGAGUUUCAUUUCAUGCCAUUAGGAAAUCAGGAGGCUGGGGUGAUAUAACCAAGGUUCUUAAAUUGGAUCCACUAGUUCAGCGGAUUUUCGUUGUUGCUCGUCAAAGAUCUUCUAGUUCUGUGUGCUGAGGUCAUUAAUGCCUUCUACAAGGCUCGUGCUCAGGAAAUGGAAAUUAGAGAGAUGGAUUUAAAGGCAAAGGUUGACGAGUUAGCAAGGAGCAACAGGCUACUCAACAUAAAGCAUCGGCAACUACUUCUGAAGCUACUGGAAAUGCUCUGCUAGAAGUUGAAUCAUUUUAUUGAUCUCAAGUUGAAAGACUUGGAAGAGAAGGGAGAGUUGGUAUGACAUUUCGUAGUAUCUUUUGUGGAUCUAGAACACAUAUUCAAUUGUUGGUGACUAUUUCCCCUUACACAGAACAGAAAUUAUUGAAAGACAAAGUGCAAAGCUUGGAGAAAGUAUGGUCAUUGGUUCAAGAAGAAUCUUUGAAAAAUCCGAGCCCUGCCUCACAAGGUGUGCACUACAUAAGGUUUACACAAGGUUCAAAGUCAGGCAAAUUUUUGCAAGAACCCAGUUCAGCUUCAGUACAAACAGCAAUGACCCAUGUGCCACGCCAAGGCAGGCCCCAGCAGCCACCAAGGGGAUUGUUAGACUUCAAGCUUGCCGGCAGUGUGUUCACGAGUGUGGUGUGCAUCUUCUUCAGGAGCACUCUGCAUAGUUAGUCUCAAGAUGCAUAUACCUCUUUGUUUUGUUUUGCUUUCUGAACUUCGUGAAGUACUCACAAGCCCACCACAUUUUACCUUUUGUAAUUCAUUCACGUUUUCUUUUAUACAGUAGGAAAAACUUCCACGAUAUAAGAAAUAUUUGAUACAAUAAAUAUUUGAUGUGAUUUUAACAAUCUAGCCAUAAUGUGUACAAUCUGGUUGUAUAAUGUUAAUUACGUCGGGCAAUAAUUUACCCAGUUCACCGGUCAGCUCGAUUUCGUGCGCAGCAACGGCGGAUCGUGGGGCUUAAUCGUGCGGCAACUGCAUCUAACAUAAAUUUACGUCGGACAAACGAAAUCGUAUAGUUAGCCGUGAGUAUAGUAUUCUGAAGGUGCAUGCAACAUAAAUUAUGAAGGUGCAUGUAACAUAAAUUACUUCACAUGCAAAUGUAAAAAAAAUCAAAAUUCCAAAUGUCAGAAGCUGCAUGGGACGUAAACUUAUGUUGCAUGCAAACAAGCUCACCGCACGGGCGUGCGCUCGAUGCCUGAAACCCCAUGUAACUUUACGUCACAUGCAAGGAAACUGAGGGGUGGAAGCACGCUCGGACGCUAGGUUGGGUGCCCCAGGGAGUCAAAUAGCGCGACCAUAUAUAUAUAUAUAUAUAUAUAUAUAUAUGAAUCUGUGAGAUAUAUGUUCCUCUCAGUAAUACUCAUUUUGUAAUCUACUAAUUUGCUUGCUGGAUAUUGAUGCUAGCGAAAAUCAAUGUCGAAUAUUGAUUUCUGUUCCAAUCAUUUAUGGUCAUUCUGUAACCUGUAAUCUGCUAACUGAUACUAGUGAAUAUUUAUGCUAACUAAUGCUGGCUGAAACUGUUGUACUGCUAAUUGGUGCUUGCCAAAACUCUACAGUUAACUGAUGCUGGCAUCACUGGAAGAGAGCAAGGCCAAUUCCUUCGCUAACUGAUGCUAAAUGAUAUUGCAGUUAGCAUCAGUUCUCUAGUGCUAACUAAUGAUAAUUGCAAGCUAACCCUAGAAACCCAAAAUUGCUUAUCCCGUCCAAUUAAACUAGUCUGAUUUUAGAAGGCUUUGCCUAGUAGGCUAAUAUGCAUUUGCGGUCUCUCAUCCGAUGCAACAACUGCAAAGAAGCAAAAACAAAACACCUUGCGAACACACAAUAGAACUCUCUGUUGCAAAAAUAUACAGAAAAAAGGAUGUAUAUCAUCUCAUCUAAAACCUUGUAGGCCCUCUGUAUCAUCACCAAUAUGAACCGUGUUAGCUCAUUAUUGAACUGUGUUUGGGAUGCAACAUUAUGAAGUAGGAAAACAACACUUAGGCUGGGCAACACAUCUCAAACAAGCAGGCCCUAGCCACCUAGACGCGUGACAUUAGUUUUGGGUUAGUUCUGUAACAUCUACACCCAUAUAUAGGACCCAUAUAUAGGCUCUAAACCAUCUGCAGCCCCCUUGUAGUAGGCCCUAACCAAUCUACAAAAGAGUCACACAAAAAGCACACAGCCAGAAAGUGAAGUUCCCUCAACACAACAUAAGUCAAUCCUUAUCCAACUCCUGAAUGAAGCAACUUAUUAGGACUAGUACGACUUGUUAUCACAAAAAGUUGCUCACAAAUAAAAAGGAAAAAAGGAUACGCACAAACAUGCCUAACAAAACAGGUUACGUGUUAAAAUUGCACGAACAGAGGAUGAAGUUUCCAUAGGUAAAAAGCAACUACAAAAACUAAUCUAGUUUUUCGCUUAGGUUAAAAAUUGCAUGACCAUGGGAUUCACAGAAAACAAUUCUCUCUGUCAUUUCUCUACUGCAAAAAUGGACGAACAACAAUCCUAGAAAAUAAACAGAAAAUUGCUUCUAGAACCUUAACCUAACCAUAAACAACCCAUUGGACACAACUUACAUCAACCAAAACCAACUAAAAUGCUUGACGAUCAGGUUGCAUGUAACAUGCCAAUCAUGAACAGAACAAAGCAUGGACAAAAGAAUAGUACAGCUAUCAGUUACCUAUGCAAAAGCCAUUGGUAAAACACAUCUGAUAUGCUACUAAACCUAGAACACUAGGCUAAAAUAUAAUGAAACAAAUUUCAAUUUCCUGAUUAGAUUCAGCAACAAAAGGCAAUGUUAGAGCGCCUAGAAGCAACAGAUCUAUGGAUCAUCAUAGUACAUGCGCAUCGUGUUGCUUGGAUGAGGAACUGCAGAGGAAAACGGCCCGAAAAAUAGGGGACAAACGAGGAAGGACAGAGGUGACCUGACCGAGGAAACUCUCUAGAUGCGAAGCCCGUAGUCGAUUCAACCCACCAGUGGUCAAAUGCGGCGACCCCCGUGAAGUCGAUGCGCCCGUGGUGGUCGAGGUGACUCGCAGAGAUGCUUUUGGGUAGUAGAACAUGGAUCAACGGUGCAGUCGCCUCCGCGUAGCCCCCACGAACUCCCCCCCGCGACAUGCAAGAGGAACCGCGCCCUCCAGCUUCGCCGCAAAAUUUCGCACCUUCCGCCAGUUCAGCAAGCAACCCCCGCCACCACACGCCUCCGCCGAAUACACAACUCCAGGCACUGGAUAGGACCGACCGCGCGGUUCCACUGCUCCAAGGCGAAUACCCCGGCCGGAAUCGCUGCUGGAAUCGGAGGAGAGAGAGAGAGAGAAACAAGGAGGCGAGGGAGACCUUCAGGUCGGGGGAGGCGAUGGGGAUGAGGAAUGAGGAAGAGACAAAGGCACUGGCUGACACAUGGG